rnacentral:rRNA from 1 species
UGAGGAAUAUUGGUCAAUGGACGAGAGUCUGAACCAGCCACGUCGCGUGAAGGAAGACUGACCUUACGGUUUGUAAACUUCUUUUGUAGAGGGGUAAUGGCAGAUACGUGUAUUUGCGUGAAAGUACUCUACGAAUAAGCAUCGGCUAACUCCGUGCCAGCAGCCGCGGUAAUACGGGGGAUGCGAGCGUUAUCCGGAAUUAUUGGGUUUAAAGGGUGCGCAGGUGGCUAAUCAGGUCAGUGGUGAAAAGCUAUGGCUCAACCAUGGUCUUGCCAUUGAAACCGUAUAGCUAGAGAGGAGACGAGGUAGGCGGAAUGUGUGGUGUAGCGGUGAAAUGCAUAGAUAUCACACAGAACUCCGAUUGCGAAGGCAGCUUACCAGGCUUUAUCUGACACUUAGGCACGACAGCGUGGGGAUCAAACAGG